rnacentral:rRNA from 1 species
GCAGUAGCCGCGGUAAUACGAAGGGUGCAAGCGUUACUCGGAAUUACCGGGCGUAAAGCGCGCGUAGGUGGUUUGUUAAGUUGGAUGUGAAAUCCCCGGGCUCAACCUGGGAACUGCAUUCAAAACUGACUGACUAGAGUAUGGUAGAGGGUGGUGGAAUUUCCUGUGUAGCGGUGAAAUGCGUAGAUAUAGGAAGGAACACCAGUGGCGAAGGCGACCACCUGGACUAAUACCGACACUGAGGUGCGAAAGCGUGGGGAGCAAACAGGAUUAGAUACCCCUGUAGUCCCUGUCUCUUAUAC